GGGGCUAUAGCUCAGCUGGUUAGAGCGCAGCACUGAUAAUGCUGAGGUCGAUGGUUCGACUCCAUCUAGCCCCA
rnacentral:tRNA from 1 species